rnacentral:rRNA from 1 species
GAUGAACGCUGGCGGCGUGCCUAUACAUGCAAGUCGAGCGGACAGACGGGGAGCUUGCUCCUCUGAAGGUAGCGGCGGACGGGGGGGGAAAAAGUGGGUAACCUACCUAUAAGAAUGGGGUAAAUUCGGGAAAACGGAGCUAAUAACGGGUAAAAAAUUUAACCGCAUGGGUCAAUUGUGAAAAACGGGUUUGCUUGUAAUUAUUGAUGGAUCCGCGCCGCAUUAGCUAGUUGGUAAGGUAACGGCUUACCAAGGCAACGAUGCGUAGCCGACCUGAGAGGGUGAUCGGCCACACUGGAACUGAGACACGGUCCAGACUCCUACGGGAGGCAGCAGUAGGGAAUCUUCCGCAAUGGGCGAAAGCCUGACGGAGCAACGCCGCGUGAGUGAUGAAGGUCUUCGGAUCGUAAAACUCUGUUAUUAGGGAAGAACAAAUGUGUAAGUAACUAUGCACGUCUUGACGGUACCUAAUCAGAAAGCCACGGCUAACUACGUG